rnacentral:tRNA from 1 species
AAGNGCUUNGUUUAAUUAAAUCAAUUGAUUUGCAUUCAGUAGAUGUAAGAUAAAGUCUUGCAGUCCUUA